AGAGUUUGAUCCUGGCUCAGGACGAACGCUGGCGGCGUGCCUAAUACAUGCAAGUCGAACGCUUCUUUCCUCCCGAGUGCUUGCACUCAAUUGGAAAGAGGAGUGGCGGACGGGUGAGUAACACGUGGGUAACCUACCCAUCAGAGGGGGAUAACACUUGGAAACAGGUGCUAAUACCGCAUAACAGUUUAUGCCGCAUGGCAUAAGAGUGAAAGGCGCUUUCGGGUGUCGCUGAUGGAUGGACCCGCGGUGCAUUAGCUAGUUGGUGAGGUAACGGCUCACCAAGGCCACGAUGCAUAGCCGACCUGAGAGGGUGAUCGGCCACACUGGGACUGAGACACGGCCCAGACUCCUACGGGAGGCAGCAGUAGGGAAUCUUCGGCAAUGGACGAAAGUCUGACCGAGCAACGCCGCGUGAGUGAAGAAGGUUUUCGGAUCGUAAAACUCUGUUGUUAGAGAAGAACAAGGACGUUAGUAACUGAACGUCCCCUGACGGUAUCUAACCAGAAAGCCACGGCUAACUACGUGCCAGCAGCCGCGGUAAUACGUAGGUGGCAAGCGUUGUCCGGAUUUAUUGGGCGUAAAGCGAGCGCAGGCGGUUUCUUAAGUCUGAUGUGAAAGCCCCCGGCUCAACCGGGGAGGGUCAUUGGAAACUGGGAGACUUGAGUGCAGAAGAGGAGAGUGGAAUUCCAUGUGUAGCGGUGAAAUGCGUAGAUAUAUGGAGGAACACCAGUGGCGAAGGCGGCUCUCUGGUCUGUAACUGACGCUGAGGCUCGAAAGCGUGGGGGAGCAAACAGGAUUAGAUACCCUGGUAGUCCACGCCGUAAACGAUGAGUGCUAAGUGUUGGAGGGUUUCCGCCCUUCAGUGCUGCAGCAAACGCAUUAAGCACUCCGCCUGGGGAGUACGACCGCAAGGUUGAAACUCAAAGGAAUUGACGGGGGCCCGCACAAGCGGUGGAGCAUGUGGUUUAAUUCGAAGCAACGCGAAGAACCUUACCAGGUCUUGACAUCCUUUGACCACUCUAGAGAUAGAGCUUUCCCUUCGGGGACAAAGUGACAGGUGGUGCAUGGUUGUCGUCAGCUCGUGUCGUGAGAUGUUGGGUUAAGUCCCGCAACGAGCGCAACCCUUAUUGUUAGUUGCCAUCAUUUAGUUGGGCACUCUAGCGAGACUGCCGGUGACAAACCGGAGGAAGGUGGGGAUGACGUCAAAUCAUCAUGCCCCUUAUGACCUGGGCUACACACGUGCUACAAUGGGAAGUACAACGAGUCGCUAGACCGCGAGGUCAUGCAAAUCUCUUAAAGCUUCUCUCAGUUCGGAUUGCAGGCUGCAACUCGCCUGCAUGAAGCCGGAAUCGCUAGUAAUCGCGGAUCAGCACGCCGCGGUGAAUACGUUCCCGGGCCUUGUACACACCGCCCGUCACACCACGAGAGUUUGUAACACCCGAAGUCGGUGAGGUAACCUUUUUGGAGCCAGCCGCCUAAGGUGGGAUAGAUGAUUGGGGUGAAGUCGUAACAAGGUAGCCGUAUCGGAAGGUGCGGCUGGAUCACCU
rnacentral:rRNA from 1 species